AUUUUUUUGCCCUGUAGUUUUCAGGUUUUCUCACAGACCUUCUAACCUAUAAGCAGCCUACAGGGGCCCAGCAGUUGUGCCAUACAUCUGUGAAGUUAUUGGCAGAGAGGAUGUCACUGGAUGGAACAUGUGGCAGCUGUAAGAGAAGGAAAAAAACAAUGGUGUGGCCUUGCCUCUUCUCAUUCACUCAUGGGAAAGCUGCUGUGGAAUACUCCUGCACCCUGAAGAAAUUGUGACUGUGCUUCUCUAAUGUUCAGGAUUCACUCAGGAAUUGCAGCGAAAUGCCCUGAUCGUAGGAGGUGUGAAGUGUGUUUUGCAAACCAGCAUUUGUCUGAAAGCACUCAGCCCCACCUCAAAUCUGAAUGGAGAACAGUCUGCUUUAAGAUUUUUUCCAAAGCUUGGAUUAGGUAAAGAAAUAGUAAUUUCCUCUCUGGAUUUCCUCUCCUUUUUUCUAAGGCCAAGUUCUAUUAACACAUAUUCACUGACUUUCCUCUGCAACAAAAUGUUUAUUUGUUUGUGACCUUUGCUUCAUUUUUAGACUGGAAUAGUUCAGCUGGAAGAGUCCUAUGAGGAUUAUCUAGUCCAACUGUCCAUUUCAGAUUUUUGCUUUGACUUGGAUCUGAAGUGGCUGCAGCCACAAGGCAGAGCAGUGACCACUCUACAACCACAGCUGCCCCGGUGUCUGUGCUGUCACCACUCAUGGACCUUGAAAGCUUGCCUUAUUCUGAUGCUAUGUCUAGUGGUGCCUCAGCACUCGAUUUGGGUAGGAGAAUUAAAACAGCUAAAUAAAAUAAUGACUCAAAAUGGUACUCA
rnacentral:lncRNA from 1 species